AUGAACGCUGGCGGCGUGCUUAACACAUGCAAGUCGAACGGAAAGGCCCAAGCUUGCUUGGGUACUCGAGUGGCGAACGGGUGAGUAACACGUGGGUGAUCUGCCCUGCACUUCGGGAUAAGCCUGGGAAACUGGGUCUAAUACCGGAUAGGACCACUUCUUGGAUGUUGUGGUGGAAAGUUUUCUCGGUGUGGGAUGAGCUCGCGGCCUAUCAGCUUGUUGGUGGGGUAAUGGCCUACCAAGGCGUCGACGGGUAGCCGGCCUGAGAGGGUGUACGGCCACAUUGGGACUGGGAUACGGCCCAGACUCCUACGGGAGGCAGCAGUGGGGAAUAUUGCACAAUGGGCGCAAGACUGAUGCAGCGACGCCGCGUGGGGGAUGACGGCCUUCGGGUUGUAAACUCCUUUCGCUAGGGACGAAGCGUUUUUGUGACGGUACCUGGAGAAGAAGCACCGGCUAACUACGUG
rnacentral:rRNA from 1 species